GAUUUCUGGCUCGUCACAUUUUGCCGGCCGCGGUUUCGCGUGCUAGUGCUUGAUGUUCUGGCCAUCCUUCCAAUCGCUAUUUACGUUUCUUCAUUGAUUCGUAAGUGGUAUUGGAUCUUUUACUUUGAAAAAAUUAGAGUGUUUCAAGCAGGCUUUAUGCUAUGAAUACAUUAGCAUGGAAUAAUAAUUUAGGACUUCGGUUCUAUUUUGUUGGUUUCUAGGACUGAAGUAAUGAUUGAUAGGGACAGUUGGGGGUGCUAGUAUUCAGCGGCCAGAGGUGAAAUUCUCGGAUUCGCUGAAGACUAACUUAUGCGAAAGCAUU
rnacentral:rRNA from 1 species